rnacentral:rRNA from 1 species
UGAUACUAAGCCAUGCGAGUCAUUGUAGUAAUACAAGGCAGACGGCUCAGUAACGCGUAGUCAAUCUACCCUAUGGACGGGAAUAACCUCGGGAAACUGAGAAUAAUGCCCGAUAGAACACUAUGCCUGGAAUGGUUUGUGUUCCAAAUGAUUUAUCGCCGUAGGAUGGGACUGCGGCCUAUCAGUUUGUUGGUGAGGUAAUGGCCCAUCAAGACUAUUACAGGUACGGGCUCUGAGAGGAGUAGCCCGGAGAUGGGUACUGAGACACGGACCCAGGCCCUAUGGGGCGCAGCAGGCGAGAAAACUUUGCAAUGUGCGAAAGCACGACAAGGUUAAUCCGAGUGGUUUCUGCUAAAGAAACCUUUUGUCGGUCCUAGAAACACCGAUGAAUAAGGGGUGGGCAAGUUCUGGUGUCAGCCGCCGCGGUAAAACCAGCACCUCAAGUGGUCAGGAUGAUUAUUGGGCCUAAAGCAUCCGUAGCCCGCUUUGUUAGUUUUCGGUUAAAUCUGUGCGCUUAACGUACAGGCUGCCGGAAAUACUGCAAAGCUAGGGAGUGGGAGAGGUAGACGGUACUCGGUAGGAAGGGGUAAAAUCCUUUGAUCUAUUGAUGACCACCUGUGGCGAAGGCGGUCUACCAGAACACGUCCGACGGUGAGGGAUGAAAGCUGGGGGAGCAAACCGGAUUAGAUACCCGGGUAGUCCCAGCUGUAAACUAUGCAAACUCAGUGAUGCAUUGGCUUGUGGCCAAUGCAGUGCUGCAGGGAAGCCGUUAAGUUUGCCGCCUGGGAAGUACGUACGCAAGUAUGAAACUUAAAGGAAUUGGCGGGGGAGCAC